CACGUAGGGCGCGAGCGUUGUCCGGAAUUAUUGGGCGUAAAGAGCUCGUAGGCGGCCUGUUGCGUCCGCUGUGAAAGCCCGGGGCUUAACCCCCGGGUCGGCAGUGGAUACGGGCAGGCUAGAGGUAGGUAGGGGAGAAUGGAAUUCCCGGUGUAGCGGUGAAAUGCGCAGAUAUCGGAGGAGACGUGCGAGGCAGAUGUCUGGCCUACGUCGAACGCUGAGAGCGGAAAGCAUGGGGAGCGAACAGG
rnacentral:rRNA from 1 species